GAUGAACGCUAGCGAUAGGCUUAACACAUGCAAGUCGAGGGGCAGCAUGGUCUUAGCUUGCUAAGACUGAUGGCGACCGGCGCACGGGUGCGUAACGCGUAUGCAACUUGCCUCACAGAGGGGGAUAACCCGUCGAAAGACGGACUAAUACCGCGUACACUUUGGAUAGGGCAUCCUGACCCAAGGAAAUGAAAUUCGCUGUGAGAUAGGCAUGCGUCCCAUUAGCUAGUUGGUGAGGUAACGGCUCACCAAGGCGACGAUGGGUAGGGGAACUGAGAGGUUGAACCCCCACACUGGUACUGAGACACGGACCAGACUCCUACGGGAGGCAGCAGUGAGGAAUAUUGGUCAAUGGGCGAGAGCCUGAACCAGCCAAGUCGCGUGAAGGAUGACUGUCUUAUGGAUUGUAAACUUCUUUUAUACGGGAAUAACAAGAGCCACGUGUGGCUCCCUGCAUGUACCGUAUGAAUAAGCAUCGGCUAACUCCGUG
rnacentral:rRNA from 1 species